rnacentral:rRNA from 1 species
AGCGAACGCUGGCGGCAGGCUUAACACAUGCAAGUCGAACGGACCCUUCGGGGUUAGUGGCGGACGGGUGAGUAACACGUGGGAACGUGCCUUUAGGUUCGGAACAACACAGGGAAACUUGUGCUAAUACCGGAUGUGCCCUUCGGGGGAAAGAUCUAUCGUCUUUCGAGCGGCCCGCGUCUGAUUAGCUAGUUGGUGGGGUAAAGGCCUACCAAGGCGACGAUCAGUAGCUGGUCUGAGAGGAUGGCCAGCCACAUUGGGACUGAGACACGGCCCAGACUCCUACGGGAGGCAGCAGUGGGGAAUCUUAGACAAUGGGGGAAACCCUGAUCUAGCCAUGCCGCGUGAUCGAUGAAGGCCUUAGGGUUGUAAAGAUCUUUCAGUGGGGAAGAUAAUGACGGUACCCACAGAAGAAGCCCCGGCUAACUCCGUGCCAGCCGCCGCAGUAA